GAAACAAACAGUGUGAUGCAAAAUGAUUGUCAAAAUUAAUGGUCUACAGUGAUUAAUUGACCUUCUUGAAACCGUCAAAAUCAAGAAUGGCACCCCAUGCACUUGUAUGGGGCUACUCCUUUGUGCACGUGCAUCCCAUACGUUGUGUUUAGGAUAAAGAGGAAUGGUGGUGCGUUCAUAUGAUGUCUGUCUUUGAAAAGUUUGUUAACGCUUAUACUUCCUAUCCAGAUUGAAAUUUCAGGUUCCCCUACUUUUUUUUUAAGAGUAUAUGUUAAUCCAUCCUUGGGGCGACUGUUAUGGGUAUUUUUAUGCCAGUGAGAAAACACUUUUGUGUUAUUGCAUAACCCUGCUUAAAUAUUGUUUCAAGUAAAUUCUAAUUUGUAGUUGUUAGUUGGCUGCCACAAGUCGAGAACACAAAAAUUAACAGCAUUAUGUACAAGUAUUACAUGCAGUAGUAUAGUAAUGCUUGUGAGAAUGCGAUGCCUAACUUAAGUUGGUAAAUAAAAAUCUGUAAAGAAAUAGAGGCACACAAAUGGAGUGAGUUGAGUCUAGUUUUAUGCCGCACUCAGCAAUAUUCCAGCUAUAUGG